rnacentral:rRNA from 1 species
UAGGGAAUAUUGGACAAUGGGCGGAAGCCUGAUCCAGCCAUGCCGCGUGGAGGAAGACGGCCCUCUGGGUUGUAAACUCCUUUUGAAAGGGAAGAAACCUCUCUAUUUAUGGAUGAGCUGACGGUACCUUUCGAAUAAGCACCGGCUAACUCCGUGCCAGCAGCCGCGGUAAUACGGAGGGUGCAAGCGUUAUCCGGAUUUACUGGGUUUAAAGGGUGCGUAGGCGGUUUUUUAAGUCAGUGGUGAAAUA